GACACCUCCAAACAAACUCGGAGACCCCAGAAAUCCUAAGGGCUUUGAGGUAAUCAACUAACACAACUACUUGUUUUUACCGUUUGAUUCUGUUUUAAUGUCCGAAUGUCAGUAAGAAGAAAAUAACGUUUAGAUAUGAAUCUGCAUACGCGAUGUACAUCGGUUAAAUUUAUCUUUGAAAGCUCAUUUAAAGACAUCGCGAGUAAAACAGUUUAACGGUUGCUUUAAUGGAGCACGAGUACAAAAUGCUGCAUCCUCGUCGUAUAUGAAGUUUAAUGCAUUUUAUCAGAAGAAAUUAGAUGCAGAUUUCAGUUGUGUGUCUAUGAAGAAUGAGAGGCCAAUGGAUCCACCAACAGCAUUUAAGAGAUCAGACGUAAUGGAACCCGUCUGUAAAAAGGUGAAGUUUGAGCAAUCUGUGAAUCAACCACAAUAUGUGUGUCCUCAAUUCAGCCAUGACUCUAAAAUUAAUGAAGUCCUGAACACAUUUAAAUCAAAUCUGAGAGAGAAGUUUCAGUGUUUGUAUCCACGAACAUCAAAGCAGAGAAACUCAACACUACUGAAUGAGAUCUACACAGAGCUCAACAUCACAGAGAUUAAAAGUGGAGAGGCAGAGGGGGCACCAAUCAAAUGUAAGAACAUCUUUAAACCUUUACCUGCAAAAAACAAACACAUCAGAAGUGUGCUGACAAAGGGAGUCGCUGGCAUUGGAAAAACAGUCUCUGUACAGAAGUUCAUUCUGGACUGGGCUGAAGAGAAAGAGAAUCAGGACGUCCACCUCAUAUUUCCACUUCCUUUCAGAGAGAUCAAUUUGAUGAAGGACAAAACACUCAGUCUUUUAGAUCUUCUUCAUCUUUUCUUCCCAGAGACAAAAGAAAUGGAAAUCUUCAGUGAUAAAUAUAAAGUGUUGUUCAUCUUUGAUGGUUUGGAUGAGUGUCGUCUGUCUCUGGAUUUUAAAAGCAAAUUGAAGUUGUGUGAUGUACGUAAAUCAACCUCAAUGGACGUGAUGCUGACAAACCUCAUCAAGGGGUAUCUGUGUCCCUCUGCUCGCAUCUGGAUCACCUCCAGACCAGCAGCAGCUGAUCUCAUCCCCCCUGAGUGUGUUGAUCGAGUCACAGAGGUACGAGGCUUCAGUGAUCCACAGAAGGAGAAAUACUUCAGGAAGAAAAUCGGUGAUAAAAGUCUGUCUGAUCAAAUCAUCUCACACCUGAAGUCAUCCAGGAGUCUCUUCAUCAUGUGUCACAUCCCAGUCUUCUGCUGGAUUUCCGGCACUGUUCUAGAGACAAUAUUGAGGAAGGCAAAAAAACGAGAGAUCCCCAAGACUCUCACUCAAAUGUACACACACUUCCUGAUCAUUCAGAAGGACUACGAGAAGAAUAAAGACAUGGUCUUCAAAAUGUGUAAACUGGCUUUUGAGCAGAUUAUGAAAGGCAAUCUGAUCUUCUAUGAUGAAGACUUGAGAGAGUGUGGCAUUGAUGUAUCAGAAGCAUCAGUGUACUCAGGAUUGUGUACUCAGAUCUUCAGAGAGGAGUUUGGUUUGUGUCAGAGGAAAAUUUACAGCUUUUUUCAUCCGAGCAUUCAGGAACAUCUAGCAGCUCUACAUGUGCACCUCUCUUUUAUGAACAACAACAUAAGUGUGUUAACUGCAUUUGAAAUGAAUCAAAGUUGUAAGCCUUCAAUUCCUGAUCUGUAUCAUAGAGCUAUAGAUGAGACUGUGAAGAGUAAAAAUGGACAUCUGGAUCUCUUUCUUCGUUUUUUUCUGGGUUUGUCACUGCCGUUGAAUCAGAAUCUCAUACCAGGUCUGAGGUUACUGACAUGCUACAACUGUCAGAUCAAUGCGAAAACAAUCAAAUACAUAAAAGAGAAGAUCAGGAAGAAUCCUUCACCAGAGAAAUCCAUCAAUCUGCUUCAGUGUCUGAAUGAACUGGGUGAUGUUUUACUAGUGAGGGAAAUCCAACAAUAUCUGACAUCUACAAUAAUAAAUAAAACCACACUGUCUUCAUAUCAGUGGUCAGCUAUAGUUUCGGUGAUGCUGACAUCAGGACACGAGCUAAAGAAUUUUACUAUGAAUCCGUUUGUUAAAGGAAUCAAUGCUGAAUCACUGAAAGUUCUUAAGGAGCUGCUGCCUGUGAUUUGUGAAUCCAGAUCAGUUCAGUUAAUUUCUUGGAAUAUCACAGAUGAACGUUGUGUUGCUCUGUCUUCAGCUCUGAGAUCAAACCCAUCACACCUGAGAGAACUGAAUCUGGGUCAUAAUAAACUGAAAGAUUCAGGAGUGAAGCUGCUCUCUGACAUACUGAAGAAUCCUGACUGUAAACUGCAGAUACUGAAGUUGAAUUCUUGUUAUAUCAGAGUUGAAGGUUGUGCUGCUCUGACUUCAGCUCUAAAAUCAAACCCAUCACACCUGAGAGAACUGAAUCUGUCUAAUAAUUUUCUUGGAGAUUUAGCAAUGGAGCAUCUCUCUGAUCUACUGGAGCAUCCUGACUGUAAACUGGAGAAACUCUGGUUGAGUUUUUGUAAUAUCACAGAUGAAGGUUGUGUUGCUCUGUCGUCAGCUCUGACAUCAAACCCAUUCCAUCUGAGAGAACUGAAUCUAUGUAAUAAUAAACUUGGAGAUUUAGGAGUGAAGCUGCUGUCUGCUGUACUGGAGAAUACUCGCUGUAAACUGGAGAUACUAAAGUUGACUGAUUGUUAUAUCACAGAUGAAGGUUGUUUUGCUCUGACUUCAGCUCUGAGAUUAAACCCAUCACACCUGACAGAUCUGUUUUUGUCUAAUAAUAAUCUGGGAGAUUUAGGAAUGAAGCUGAUCUCUGAUCUGACAAAUGAUUUAAAUUACAAACCGAAAAAACUAAGGGAAGACCUUGCAUUUUCCAACAUGACAAUGCCAGACCACAUAGUGCAUCAAUUACAACAUCAAGACUGCAUAGAAGAAGGAUCUGAUUACUGAAAUGGCCAGCCUGCAGUCCAGAUCUGUCACCCACAGAAAAUAUUUGGUGCAUCAUAAAGAGGAAGAUGCGACAAAGAAGACCUAAGACAAAUCAUAGUAAAAUGAACUCAUAACAAGAGUUGAAACUGUAAGAUGGUGUCAAACCCGGACAAAUGCCUUCAAAUGGAUGGAUCCAUCGGAGCCAUUUUUUGAAAACAUUUAAUUCAUGUUGAAUCAACAUCUGAAACCUCUCUCAAAUAAUUCACAUCUACCCCCAAGAAGGCCAACACCAUGGUUUGGGGACAAAGUCUCACACCCCACCAAGCUGUUCAACUCUCAGGACAAACUGUAUGUGAAAUGCUGCAUUGUGCAUGCACAGAGUGUCUGAAACCGGCCUUGUUUGAUGUCAUAUGAAGUAUUUUAAUAAAAGCGGUACAAUUUGGUUGAUUUAUAUAACAACAGAAUUCAAUAAUAAAAUGUAAUAAUACAUUAAGAAAACUUCACUCACCUUUUAGGCAUAAAACAAUUACUCACUGUAUGCAAAUUAAGGACAGCCCUGUGUUUACAGGCACCAAUCAGUACCAAAUUCCCAUAUGCUUUGUUCUCUCUGGAUAGUUAAAGAAAAGUUUGUAAAUAGUGCAGGGGGAUUUUCUCUUUUCAGAAAUGAACCCCAUGAUGAUGUGUCUUGGGUAUUUUUAUUUUAUUUUGCUUACCAUGUAUGCAAUGGUUUUUCCUUUGUUUCGUAUUUGAAUUGUUUGUAAAUUGGCUUCUGAAUUGUUUUUCCUACCUGGUUAAUAAAUUGUUACGUUUGUUUUCAUUCUACUUUGCUCUGUGUUAUUGACUCUUCUAAGCUGUUAUAAAGUAUUACGAUAUAUCGUUGACACCAUAAACCCACGGCCGUGGUAUAAAUUCAUGCUAAUCGUCUAUACCGCUAACUAAGUGGACAAUCAGGUGAUAAGUCAGGACCUCUGAUCAUUAUCUCUACUAUAAUUAUAUUAUUAUAUGUUCAUAUGAUUUACUAUAUCAGGUUAGACGGCGCCUUCUUGUACCUCUGGUUAUAGUAUGAGUUCUGUAAUAAGUUGUUUAUAGGUAAUUGGCUGGGGUAUUUUUUUAAUAAGGGCACGCUAGCAUGGGGCAGUUUCUUCAACCAUUUCCUCUGGUUACACGGAUGGACAAAUUAUUUUAUUCUAACUAAGUCGUAUGUAAUUGUGAUUGGCUAUAAGGUAUUAGACAUCGCAUGUGAAGUUAAAGAACCUGUUUUAGUCCCUUGAGUUUUAAGGGCAAGUGGGACUUAAGGUAAUACUUUAGCAUUUAAGGGUAAAUAAACUCAGCAAAAAAAGAAACGUCCCUUUUUCAGUACUGUGUAUUUCAUCAAUAAUGUUGUAGAAAUCCAAAUAACUUUACAGAUCUUCAUUGUAAAGGGUUUAAACAUUGUUUUCCAUGCAUGUUCAAUUAACCAUAAUCAUUAAAUUAACAUGCACCUGUGGAAUGGUCAUUAAGACCUUAACAGCUUACAGGGACUAGGCAUUUCAGGUCACAGUUCUAAAAACGCAGGACACUAAAGAGACUUGUCUACCGACUGUGAAAAACAACCAAAAAAGAUGCCCAGGGUCCCUGUUCAUCUUCAUGAACAUGCAUUAGGCAUGCUGCAGGGAGGCAUGGGGACUGCUGAUGUGGCUAGGGCAAUAAAUGGCCAUGUCCACACUGUGAGACGCCUAAGACAACGCUACAGGGAGACAGGAAGGACAGCUGAUCAUCCUCGCAGUGGAAGACCACCUGUAACAACACCUGCAGAGGAUCGGUACAUCCGAAUAUCACACCUUCGUGACAGGUACAGGAUGGCCACAAAAACUGCCUGAUUCAUGGCAGGAACACACAAUUCCUCCAUCAGUGCACAGACUGUCCACAAGAGGCUGAGAGAGUCUGGACUGAGGGCUUGUAGGCCUGUUGUAAGGCAGGUCCUUACCAGACAUCACCAGCAACAACGCCGCCUAUGGGCACAAACCCACCUUCACUGGACCAGACAGGAGUGGAAAAAGUGCUCUUCACUGAUGAGUCACGGUUUUGU